GUUUGAAGUUAUUUUUCAAAAUUAUCAAAAUUUGUGGCCUGAGAAAACAUUGCGUUUAUAUUGAUAAUCAAAUAAAACCAGAUGCUCCGCAGGGCACAGUUUUAUACGACUGCAGAGGUUUAACCCUGAACGGUUGGGGCAAGUAUGGACCCAACAUUCAAGCUGGAUUCAGCUCUAAAUUUUGGAUUGUGAUUAAAUAGUUGACACAGCAUAGGUUUCUGACACAGAAUGAAUGUGGUCUAAAGAACUUAUAAAAAUGUUUUUUUGCUUUUGAGCAAUUCACUAUGCUGUUGAAUAUUAAUCCUCUCAAAAAAAUAAUGUUUUAAGAAAUUUUCUUUUUAUUUAUGAAAUCUGAAAUGAAACCCCCACCCCCCCCCCCCCAUUUUUUUUUCACAUCCCUCUUUCCCUUAUUCCAAAACUGAUCUAAUUCAAAUUUCUAAAAGAGUAUGCAACAAUAACUACUCAUUUAAAUACAUAUUAGAAUGUAAAAAAAGUGAA
rnacentral:lncRNA from 1 species